rnacentral:rRNA from 1 species
CCCUUAGAUGUCCUGGGUCGCACGCGCGCUACACUGAGUGUCUGAGAUACGAGUCUGCCUGGUCCGGCAAGGUCUAGGUAAUCGCUAAAAGACACAUCAUGCUUGGGAUAGAUUAUUGCAAAUAUUAAUCUUGAACGAGGAAUUCCUAGUAAGCGCAAGUCAACAGCUUGCGUUGAUUACGUCCCUGCCCUUUGUACACACCGCCCGUCGCUACUACUGAUUGGAUGUUUAAGCGAGGUUCUCGAACUGCUAGCGACUUAGCUUCGGUGAGGUCGCAGUGUGGGAAGUGAACCUAGCUUUGGUGUCUAGAGGAAGUAAAAGUCGUAACA